GUGGGGAAUUGUUCGCAAUGGGCGCAAGCCUGACGACGCAACGCCGCGUGGAGGAUGAAGGUCUUCGGAUUGUAAACUCCUGUUGGGUGGGACGAAUCCUUUCCGGGCUAACACCCCGGAGAAAUGACGGUACCACCUGAGGAAGCCCCGGCUAACUCUGUGCCAGCAGCCGCGGUAAUACAGAGGGGGCGAGCGUUGUUCGGAAUUACUGGGCGUAAAGGGCGCGUAGGCGGCCGACUAAGUCAGACGUGAAAUCCCCGAGCUCAACUCGGGAACUGCGUCUGAUACUGGUUGGCUGGAGUCCGGGAGAGGGAAGCGGAAUUCCAGGUGUAGCGGUGAAAUGCGUAGAUAUCUGGAGGAACACCGGUGGCGAAGGCGGCUUCCUGGACCGGUACUGACGCUGAGGCGCGAAAGCCAGGGGAGCAAACGGGAUUAGAAACCCGAGUAGUCC
rnacentral:rRNA from 1 species